AGAGGAAAGUGGUUGGUCAUUCGAGCCGCUUGAGAGUCUAAACAUUUGCAAUUGCAAACGCAGUUUGUGAAACGCCGACCUUAUUCUCAGUUAUUUUAAUACCCCGAGUUAACCAACACGUUGUCGUCAUCCGGCCUUGAUUCCAAUAACAGGCCACUAAGAACAAUUUUGAAGUUUGAUUAUUUUUGUUCAGUUUCUGUCAGGAUUCAAGGCAGCAACAGUAACUCAACAGGUCGAGUAGAAGUAUUUCUUUACGGGUCCUGGGGCCAAGUGUCUUAUAGCAGAGGAUGGACCAUCCAAUCAGCGAACAUUGUCUGUCGAAUGCUGGGUCUUCCCAAUGCAACAGCAGCACCAGAAGGUUCCAUAUUUCCUUCAACUACAGGAACGGAUACCUUGGUACAUAUUGAAAACUGUACCGGUGAAGAAUUAUCCAUCUUUGAUUGUAAUGGGUUUACCUUGAAAAAAACCCCUCCAUGACAACAAAGGCUUUGCAGGGAUUGUUUGUGGCCAUCCCAAAAUUGAAGUUGUCACUUGGCUUGACUCCAUAAGCGAAACACAACUAGCCAUAGGGAAUGUUCUACUUUCUGUGGAUGGUGUAAAAGCACCAAUUGGGAUCAAUAAUUGGGAUAAGAACGCCAUGGACGUAGUGUGUCGAAUGCUGGGCAUCGAAGGACCUCAUGAUGCACCUCCUUUAAGCAGCAGAAAUAAAGCUCCUCAUCUGUGGAUAGAUCACGUGAAAUGUUUAGGACACGAAAGUUCUUUACUGGACUGCGAUCAUCCAGGGCUGAGGAACAAGAAUCGCUACAGUUUAACUUGACGAAAUAAAGCAUUAGUAGCUUGUGGACGGCUGAACAUUACUUUCCAGCUCGCUAAAGGAAUGAGCAAACAAGAAGGAAUUGUUCAUGUGUCUUUCAAUGGCAUCAUGGGAUAUACUGAUUUACAGUAUAGUAGCCUUCCAGAAUUUCAAAAUGUAGUAUUACGCAUGCUUGGUCUCUCAACAACACACUGCUUAUUAAUAAGACAUGACGUAUCCAUGUCUUUUGACGUAUUACCCUAUGAUGGGCUGGCAUUGUCAAAUAUAUAUUGCCAUGGAAACGAGUCUUCUAUAAAGGAUUGUAGCUAUACGAUCACGGUACUGCAACCGCGAGUGAUCUUCGUGAAAGUUUCACUUUACAACCUGGUCUGUGGUAAAGGUACGCAACCAUCCAACCA